ACUAAUUAGUAUAAAUUUACAUUUAAUUUGCAAUUAAAAAAUAUCUUAAGAUAUAGUUUA
rnacentral:tRNA from 1 species